AGUAUAAACGAGUGGCGAGUGGAAGACUAGGAUAUUAUAUAAAGGACGUUAAAAACGAAAUGUCGUAAAAGAUAUAUCUGAUAUUCGACAAUCCUUUUGAGAAAUCGUAAUGUAGACACUUUGAUAAUUGAAACAUCUAAAUAUCAAGGAAAACGGAAAUCAAGCGAGAUUUCGUUAGUAGUGGUGAGCGAAAGCGAAUGAGGGAGAGGGGUUAUUGCAUGUGGAAUAACCGUUUUAUGUUAUUAAGAGCUAAUUUAUAUAGCCAAAGAAGAUAACAGAUCUGUAGAGUCUUAAUAAUAACAAAGUAUAAAGUAUAAUUAUUAAAAUACAGGUGUACCACACACCUAAGACUAAAUAAUAUAAUAUACCGAUAGUAAACAAGUACUGUGAAGGAAUGUUGAAAGAGAUAUAAGUGAAAAGAGCCGGAAACUCGUCUACUUACAAGUAGACAGAAUCUUUGUCGUACCUUUUGUAUAAUGGGUUCACAAGAAAAAAUUUGGCAAACUUAAGUUUUAAAUGUAGGUGAAGUGAAAGCGAGUUUUAAUAAAACGCGAUAAAGUCAAAUGAUCCCGAAACCAAGUGAUCUAGUCAUGGGCAGUUUGAAACAAUUUGAAAAGAGUUGUGGAGGAGCGAACCGGUGAUUGUAGCAAAAAUCUCGGAUGACCUGUGGUUAGGGGUGAAAGGCCAAUCGAACUUGGAAAUAGCUGGUUUUCUGCGAAAACUAUAUAAGUAGUGCGUCAUAUAUAUUCUAACUAAAUAAUUAUUGAAAACGGUAAUAAUAAUUAUUUAAUACACGGUAAGGCUCUAAAUAAAUUUAGGGAGAGUUUCUUUACUAAAUUCCAUUAAACUAUGAAUGUGUUAGAAGAAAGUUUGAUAGACAGACGUUGGCGAGAAGGUCAAUAGUCUAGUGGGGAACAGCCCUGAUUUGAAGUUAAGGUCAUAAAGAUGGGCUAAGUGUGAAAGAGGAUUAAUUUUAAUAUUAGAUAAUGAGUAAGUAGGCUUGGAACCAGCCAUCUUUUAAAGAUUACGUAAUAGUUCACUCAAUAAAUUUAAUAACCUCUAAAAUUUAGGUGGCUUAAGCUCAUUGGAUCCCAUACUCUGAAUAGAAAUUAUGGUAGCAGAACGUGCUGUAUUUAUUAGUGUAAACAAAAUCAGAAGUGAUAAUGUGAAUAUGAGUAAAAAACAAUGUUGAAAUCAUUGUUCAUGACCUAGGGUUUCCAAUUAAAGGAUGUUCCUAAUUGGGUUAAACAGCCCCUAAAAAAUAUGGGUACGUAGUAAAAUAAAUUACGCUUAACGCGUCAGGAAGAAAUUAUUCCAAUAAAAGGGGGUAAGACCCCUUUUAUUAAUCCAAAAAGCGGGUUGUACUAAAACUGACACAAGUGGGUCGUAACGUGAUGGUAAAAUUUAUCUUAAGGAAUUCGGCAAAUUGUUCCUGUAAGUUCGCGAGAAGGGAAGUUAAUAAUUUGAAGAGAUAAGAUUAUUAAUUGCAAAGAAGAGGGGGUGUCGACUGUUUACCAAAAACAUAGCUUCCAGCUAAUUUUUAGAUAUUGGAAGUGAGGCCUGCCCAAUGGUUGUAUCUCAACCCAAGUAAUAAAUCUAGUUAACUUGGUUAAGGACAAUUUAAUGGCCGCGGUAACACUGACCGUGAUAAUGUAGCGCAAUCAAUAGCCAAUUAAUUGUUGGCAAGUAUGAAUGGCUUAACGAGCGCCCCGCUGUCUCAAGAUAAAUACCAAUGAAAUUGAAUUCGUAGUGAAGAUGCUACGUACAAAUUGUAAGACGAGAAGACCCCAUUGAGCUUUACUGAAGGUUUAUAUGGUUUGGGUUUAAUUAAUGUGUAGAUUAUGUGGGGAAUUAAGAUUAGUUUAAUUUUUAUGAAAAACCACUCUUUUAAUUGGAAACAAAUUAGGUCAGGCCCACCCGCUAAGUGGGCUUCUUUUUAUGUAAAUCGGACAGUUUGGUUGGGGCGACCGCCUUCUAAAGAGUAACGAAGGUAAACAUAAGGCGAAUAUAAUAUAAUAAAGCCAGACAGCAAGGCGUACUUUCCUAGCUGACACGGGGCUCAGUCCCUGCUGUGUUAUAGUGACCCGUUUGUCGAAAGUGGAAUUGCUAACGAUCAAUGGAUAAAAGUUACCAUGGGGAUAACAGAGUAAUAUCGUCUGAGAGUUCAUAUCGACGACGGAGUUUGCUACCUCGAUGUUGAAUUGUGGUAUCCUGAGGGUGCAGCCGCUCUCAAGGGUUGGACUGUUCGUCCAUUAAAACCAUACAUGAUUUGAGUUCAGACCGGCGUGAGCCAGGUCGGUUUCUAUCUACAAUUUGGUGAGGAAGCAUUUGACGUAUCAAUCUUCUAGUACGAAAGGACCGAAGAAUUUGUUGUCCUCUGGUGUUCCAAUUAAAAGUUGGGUAGUUACGACAGUAAGGUGGUAUCACUGAAAGCAUCUUAAGUGAGAAAUCUAUGUUAAUCUGUGCUUCCAAUAAGAAUGUUUGAGAUAAAAACACUGAUAGGGCCUUGGUGACGAGCUUAAGGCUACUAAUCAUCUUUAAUACUAGUUUAACGGCCCACCUAA
rnacentral:rRNA from 1 species